rnacentral:rRNA from 1 species
UACGUAGGUCCCGAGCGUUGUCCGGAUUUAUUGGGCGUAAAGCGAGCGCAGGUGGUUUAUUAAGUCUGGUGUAAAAGGCAGUGGCUCAACCAUUGUAUGCAUUGGAAACUGGUAGACUUGAGUGCAGGAGAGGAGACUGGAAUUCCCGGUGUAACGGUGGAAUGUGUAGAUAUCGGGAAGAACACCAAUGGCGAAGGCAGGUCUCUGGGCCGUUACUGACGCUGAGGAGCGAAAGCGUGGGGAGCGAACAGG